rnacentral:lncRNA from 1 species
GAAAAUAGAGUUAUUCUCAACUUUCAUCAUAUGAUUAUAGUGAGAAGGAAGACGGAGUUGGUGGGUCAUCUCUUUGGAUCGGCUCUCAUAGACUAAUACACGUAGUUAGCGAGGCUCCAUCUUCUAUUGUAGAUUAGAAUUAUAAAAGUGAGAAAAAAAAAAUGAAAAAAGAGACUUAGUUUAAUAUCAUAUCCUCCCUUUUCUCCAGCUAACCCACAUUUUUAAUCCUUUCAGUUUUUGUGUCUAUUAUAUACAUAUUUUCUUUUCUUGUUGAUAGGCCACAAUUUUACAAACCCAUUUCCGUACUCGACCUUUGCUUGUCAUUGAGUUACAGAUUUACGUGCUGUCUUGUGAGCCUGAAGAUCGGACCAUGUUCUUCACCAUUUUGUUUUUCUGGUAAUUGUUCUUUUCUUACUUGUAUUAUAUGAUUUAUUAUUCAUGUUUUUACCUUUUAUGCGCUUCAGCUCAAAGUUUUCAUCUUUGCUUUGCUAUGUAAGGAAAUUUUGGCAUUUGUUUGAUGCUAUCGUACAAUUGACUUCAUGUUUGGAUACAAUUUGGUCACAAUUUGGGAAUUUUUUUCUUUUAUGAGAAAAAUGCUCUUUUCUUUUUCAAUUACUUUUUUUUUGGGGGGUGGGGGGGGGGGGGGGGGGGGGGGGGGCAAUGAAUGGAGUCCGGUGUUGUCAAUUCUUGGUGUCUUUCCAAAUUCUAUUAUGAAGUUAAUUUGUUUUGCGGAAAUGGGUUCUGGGAUAAUUGAGGAAAAGGCUCGGUUUUCAUGCCGCAUCUUUGUCCUGCUCUGGUUGUUGAUAGCUCCAGAAAAAAGGGUGCUUAAAAGAGCAAUCUUUUAUUGAAUGAGGGCUAUUGGCAGAAACUUGAGGAUUUUACUUUGCAUUGUGAGGACUGAGGAGAAAGUUUCAAAUAUUUGCUUGCCCUUUGGAGAAUACAAUGAGCAGUAAAAAAUUUAAUGCAAGGUGCUUUUUUUUUUUUUUUUUGAGUAGAAGUGAACUACAGUGGCAUUGAAGAUUCGUCAGAUGACAAUGUACUCUUUAUUUUCUUAUUUAUACAUAUACAUGGAGGGAAGGUUCCAAUUAUAGUAGCAUGAAGAAUAAUUCAAAGGUUUUUCUUUCUUCAAGGAUAGUGAAUUACUAUGUGAGGAGAUGCUUUUGAGUAGCCUUCUUGUGUUUUGUGUGCGCCAGACUGCCUGUAACUUUCUAUGGAUGAGAUUUUGUGCAGUAGUUUGUCUGGCCACGUCUUAGGCUUUGUUUCCCAGGAAAUUCUUGCAGCAGAAAAUCGGGAAUUUGACCUAAAGUAUUCUUUUAGAACAAAAUUGCUGGUGCAUGGACGGAUGUUCGAUAUCAGCUAAUCACCUCUUUUUUUCUGGAAUUGAUAGUUCAUUAUAUAUAGCUUAAUUUCAUGCUUGAUUUCAACCACUUCAAAGUUGUUUGCAAAUAUUCAUGGAUGGGUUAUGUGUUUCAUGCUUCAUUUCAAACACUUCAAAGUUGUUUGCAAAUAUUCAUGGAUGGGUUAUGUGUUUCAUGCUUGAUUUCAACCCCUUGAAAGUUGAUCCUAAAUAUUCAUGAAUGGGUUAUGCAUAUCGUUUGUAACAGGUUGAAUAAAAGAAACCAGCACAUCAUACAUUAAAAUCCAGUAUGCAAUAUCGAAGUAUAUUAGAUUAUUGUGGUUAUCGUGAACAAACCAAUCUUAGGGUGUAGGUUACGACAUAUAUUGAUAACUUGAGCAUUUACAUUAUAUUGGUUCUCAUGUUAUGUAGGAGGUUGAAUAAAAAAAAACUAGCACAUCAUACAUUAAAAUCCAGUAUGCAAUAUUGAAGUAUUUUAGAUUAUUGUAGUUUUCGCGAACAAACCAAUCUUAGGGUGUAGGUUACGACAUAUAUUGAUAACUAGAGCAUUUACAUUAUAUUGGUGUCAACUUGGCCUUUGUGUCUGCACGUCAUUGUAUCAUUUGCUUUGACUGCACUCCGUU